AGAGACCUCAGGGAGGAUCGCCAUGUGGACUCAGCAGUUUGCAACAAGCCACCAAGGUCUUAACUGAAAAUCUAAGCUGGCUGCUGUGGGGUGGCUGGGAGCAGGCCAUGGACAGGAAAGACUGGCAGUGAGUCAGGCGUGGGGCAAGAAUGGAAGGUAGAACCCAAACACCAGGGCAAUGGGUAUGCCAGGCAUGCUCACCCCUCAGAGUGUAGGGCAUUAUCAAGUGUUGAUGAAUGAAUAAAUGACUAUGUAAUCAUACGUCACCUCCAUCACGCUGAGGCCUGGGGUCAGGCCUGGCAUGUGUGACCCCUGCCAGUCCUGCAGGUCAGAUCCCUGGGAAUAAGAUGAACCCUGGCUGGGCACAGUGGCUCACACCUAUAAUCCCAGCACUUUGGGAGGCUGAGGCGGGCAGAUCACCUGAGGUUGGGAGUUUGAGACCAGCCUGACCAACACAGAGAAACCACGUCUCUACUAAAAAUACAAAAUUAGCCGGGCUUGGUAGUGCAUGUCUGUAAUCCCAGCUACUCAAGAGGCUGAGGCAGGAGAAUCGCUUGAACCCGGGAGGCAGAGGUUGUGGUGAGCCGAGAUUGUGCCAUUGCACUCCAGCCUGGGCAACAAGAGUGAAACUCUGUCUCAAACAAACAAACAAACAAACAAAAGAUGAACCCUGCCUUCAGAACUCCAUGUAACCUCCUCCCAGGCUGCCCUGCUGUUCCCUGCCAGCCACAUCUCUCUGAUUAGAUUCAGAGCUCCCUGUAAGCCCCAGGCACUCAGUGGUCCCCUCUCCCAACAAACGCACACGCACUACUGCUGUUCUCCUGGACGUGCCAGGGUAGCUGCUGCCCAUUCAGGCUGGUCUGGCUGUCGCAUAGAAAGCUGGACAGCUCUAGGGUCUUCUUACCCCAGGCUCUGCUCACCCCUCAAGCCCCUAAGCCUGUUCUUGGCACAGGCUUGGGACCACAGGGACCACACUGUGACCUCACUGAGUCUUGCUGCGGUACCCAUAAGUAGGCCCCGAGGGGCUAGACCCCAGGCUGGAGUGCCCCUGUUCCUAACCUCCCCUGGGGACUAUAUGUUCACUGUACAGAUGAAAAGGGCUUGCCCCAGGUCACUGGGGCUUGUGAUUUUCAAGUAAGAAUUCCUGAUGUUUCCUCCAGAAUAAUAACCCCCAUCACCACUGCCUCCUCUUCAACCCCUUCAUCCCCACUUCCUACCAGGCACUGGGCCAGAAGGAUGUCUAAUUCUCAAAACAGCUUUCCAGGUAGGUAGCAUUAGCCCCAUUGCCCCAUUGGGCAGAUGAAGAAACUGAGGCUCCAGUAGUUCUGAGUGGUUUGCUUAAGGCUGGCUGGGAAGCAGCAAAGAUGGGCUCCAACUCCCGAUCCAGCUCCUCCUGGGUUGAUUCAUGAAGAGCAUAUUGUAAUCUUUUUUUUAGUAAGCCCAUUUUAUCUCAAUAUGCAAAACUAUGCACAUGACAUGCAAAUUAUUAGAAAAGCUCCCAGGGUGACAGUGUAGCCUUUGGGUUUCACCAAUGAUCCAACAAUUCGGCGGCCUCUCUCUCACUUUAGCUGAGCCUCUCUACUCUGCCUCCCCACCAAGGUACCUCUGGGGAGGGCUUUGCAGGAGAGAGUUGAAGAUUUGUUGACACACGGCCAGUGAGGUGAGCAGCCUCAGACCUCAUGAAUGAGGCAAGGGUCCUAUGCCCAGCCCCCUUCCUGCCUCCCCUGCCCCUUAUUGGACUCCUUGAGGCUUAGGAUCUGCUCCAGGGAAAGCCAGUGAAGCAUUGAAGGUCUGCUCUGUUUCGAGGAAUGAGGCUUCUCCAUGAUGAAAGAGCCCUUUCCAUCAGAGCAGGCAGGACAGGAGGCUGGGAGGCGGGUGACCAGGCUAGAUCCAAGCUGCAGCCACAAAUCAUGGGAGAAAUGUCCCAUGAGCACAGGGUGGAAAGGACAGUCAUCCAGCACCUUGGCCUGAUUCACGGCUAGAGAGGCAGCAGACAUCCACCGGGCCCAGGUAACCUUGAGCUUGUUAGCUAACGUCACUGCAUCUCAGUCUUCUUGAAGGUAAAAUGGGUUCAGUAAACUCCACUCCUCAUCUUCCUCUCAGAGCUGCUGGGAGGCCACUGGGGGCUUCACCCAUUGCUGAAUCAUAAAGCAUUUAUGGAAAGGCUGUACUCGUGGUGUCCUCCAGACCUGCAGAGGGAUGUAGGGCAGGAAUGCCACCACCACCCCUACACACACACACUCCCCGGUGUCUGGCACAUGCCAGACACCCCCACCCAGCCAGCU
rnacentral:lncRNA from 1 species